rnacentral:antisense_RNA from 1 species
UGUGGGAGCGGGCUUGCCCGCGAUGGCGGUGGUUCAGCCAAUGAUAUGUCGACUGAUGUUCCGCUAUCGCGGGCAAGCCCGCUCCCACA